rnacentral:rRNA from 1 species
UACGUAGGGCGCAAGCGUUGUCCGGAAUUAUUGGGCGUAAAGGGCUCGUAGGCGGUUUGUCGCGUCGGGAGUGAAAUCCACUGGCUUAACUGGUGGCUUGCUUUCGAUACGGGCAGACUGGAGGUAUGCAGGGGAGAACGGAAUUCCUGGUGUGGCGGUGAAAUGCGCAGAUAUCAGGAGGAACACCGGUGGCGAAGGCGGUUCUCUGGGCAUGUCCUGACGCUGAGGAGCGAAAGUGUGGGGAGCGAACAGG